UUUGAAACCUGGCUCAGAACGAACGCUGGCGGCAGGCUUAACACAUGCAAGUCGAGCGCCCCGCAAGGGGAGCGGCAGACGGGUGAGUAACGCGUGGGAAUCUACCCUUGACUACGGAAUAACGCAGGGAAACUUGUGCUAAUACCGUAUGUGUCCUUCGGGAGAAAGAUUUAUCGGUCAAGGAUGAGCCCGCGUUGGAUUAGCUAGUUGGUGGGGUAAAGGCCUACCAAGGCGACGAUCCAUAGCUGGUCUGAGAGGAUGAUCAGCCACAUUGGGACUGAGACACGGCCCAAACUCCUACGGGAGGCAGCAGUGGGGAAUAUUGGACAAUGGGCGCAAGCCUGAUCCAGCCAUGCCGCGUGAGUGAUGAAGGCCCUAGGGUUGUAAAGCUCUUUCACCGGAGAAGAUAAUGAC
rnacentral:rRNA from 1 species